GACGAACGCUGGCGGCGUGCUUAACACAUGCAAGUCGAACGGAAAGGCCCUGCUUGCAGGGUACUCGAGUGGCGAACGGGUGAGUAACACGUGGGUGAUCUGCCCUGCACUUCGGGAUAAGCCUGGGAAACUGGGUCUAAUACCGGAUAGGAGCCAUUUUUAGUGUGAUGGUUGGAAAGUUUUUUCGGUGUAGGAUGAGCUCGCGGCCUAUCAGCUUGUUGGUGGGGUAAUGGCCUACCAAGGCGGGGAUGGGUAGCCGGCCUGAGAGGGUGGACGGCCACAUUGGGACUGAGAUACGGCCCAGACACCGACGGGAGGCAGCAGUGGGGAAUAUUGCACAAUGGGCGCAAGCCUGAUGCAGCGACGUCGCGUGGGGGAUAACGGCCUUCGGGUUGUAAACUCCUUUCGCUAGGGACGAAGCUUUUUGUGACGGUACCUAGAUAAGAAGCACCGGCUAACUACGUG
rnacentral:rRNA from 1 species